rnacentral:rRNA from 1 species
CCAAUAGCGUAUAUUAAAGUUGUUGCAGUUAAAAAGCUCGUAGUUGAAUUUCGGGGUUCUACCGUUGGUCGGGCUAACCAGUCUGUACUAGCGUGUAAAAUUCCUACCUUCUGGAGAACCAUCAUGUUAUUAAUUUAGCGUGGUGGGAAACCAGGACCUUUACCUUGAAAAAAUUAGAGUGUUCAAAGCAGGCUUACGGCUGAAUACAUUAGCAUGGAAUAAUAGAAUAGGACGGUGGUCCUGUUUUGUUGGUUUCUGAAUCACCGUAAUGAUUAAUAGGGAUAGUUGGGGGCAUUAGUAUUCAAUUGUCAGAGGUGAAAUUCUUGGAUUUAUUGAAGACUAACUUCUGCGAAAGCAUUUGCCAAGGAUGUUUUCAUUAAUCAAGAACGAAAGUUAGGGGAUCGAAGACGAUCAGAUACCGUCGUAGUCUUAACCAUAAACUAUGCCGACUAGGGAUCGGACGAUGUUAAAUUUUAUUGACUCGUUCGGCGCCUUACG